GACUUUCGAUUAGCAUCACGACAAGGGAGUGCUCAUGCCACCAAGUGUUAGCUACUUGGGUGCCUCAAGAUCUGGAGAUCCUAGUGGCCACAAGCUUGGACUCAAUCUUUUUCUGUGGUCUGGCCAGGACCAAGGGGGAGAUAAUUCCAGCAACAAGAGCGUCGCAGUAUCUCCCUGCCUAUGACUUUCGAUCAGCGUCACGACGGGAGUCCUCGUGCCACCAGGUGUUAGGUGCGCGUGCAGCACAAAUCUGGGUUGUGCUGAUCCUCUACGCACAAGUUAGGAACUC